AUGAAUCUCUUUUUUGGACGGUUGUCGCCUAACUGCGCUCUUCCUCCUCUGACCUAACUGAGUCUCUCAAUUCACUCUUGAUAGGCCAAACCUAUCGGAUUCGUUGAUGAGCCAAACCUAUAGGAUGCUUAUAUUGUAGAUGGAAGCCCUAGAAAUCACAUAAUCAUUUCAUUCUCUUUCAUGCUGCACUUCUAUCCCUCUUCUUCAAAACCCUAGGGAGAAUCGAGAUUCGAGAGUGAAAUUCGGAGUUGAUAUCAGUGGGUUUUGUGAUUUAACAAUGGAAUCAGCAUUACCAGUAAAGAAAAUCAUGGAAGACGAAGAAGAAGGAGAAGAAAGUGAUAGAGGUAGUCAAAUGCGUCAUGUACCGUUCUUCAACAGAUCCUUAUGUUACGGCUGCUACUGGAUCUCCAAAUGUUAUGUCUCAGAAGUAUAAAUAUGAUUCUAGGGUAAUGGGUUUAUACUAAGAUUGAUCUCUUUUCCUCCAUCUCGAAGGUUUGAUUUCUUACUUUCUCCCCGCUUGUAUGUUUUGGUGUUGAGUUCUAGGGUUUAAUUUCUCAAUUCUCUUAUUAUCUGCGUUGGAAUUGUUUUACUUCGGUUAGAAAUGGAUGGAUGCAGUUAAUUCAAAAUCUAAGGUUCCAUUUUUUAGGCUUUAUUUUUAUUUUAUUUAUAAGAUUGAAGGAAAUUUUCAUUUUGAUGUAUAUGUAAAUUGGUAAACCCUAGAUUGGGAUUUGAAAAUCCAUGGCAGAUCUCAGUUCUCCUGUUUUUGGUUGAAGCCAGAUUACUAUUUAUAAUGUUUUCAUUCAUUGUGCUUAAAUGGAACAUGAUUAAUGCUCUGUUUUAUGGUUAGUGUGUGCUCAGUUCUGUGCUCGGCUCUCCUGUUAUUCUGAAUUGUAGUUCUGUGCUUAGUGAAACAUGAUUGAUUACCAUUCUGUUGAAAUGUGUUUAAUAAGUCUGAAAUUUGAGUGGCGAUCAGCUGCACUGUAGGGAACGAAUGUCUUACUCUUUGGAAAAUAAUUAGGUGGCUUAUCUUGGACUGAGGAUUAUUAGGGACUCUCAGUUCUUUCUGUCUGCAGCUAGAUAUAAUUGUUUAAUUAUUUUGUUAGCAUCUUAUUAGCAUUGAGUGAUUACUUCACCUAUUAGCAGCAGCUCAGACACGUGCUUUAGUCAUUAGUCACUUGUCUUUGAUUCGUUUUUCUUUUUCAAACAGAAUUUUCUUUUUCCAGCACCAACACAUGAUCAGGUAAGCUGAUGAUAUGUGCACCAUCUUUAUGCUGAUGGUGGUCAUUUAAAGCGCUACUUACAGUAGGGCAGAGCGAUUGCUAGACAACUGUACUUGGGAUUUUUUGUCCCAGGGAGACUCGAAUGUUUGUCGAAGCUGGUAUCCAUGUAGCUGACAGUUGCGGUUCUAUUUAUGUGCUUAUUUGAACUCUUCUGGUAACAAAGGAAGAGACCUCAGCUUCAUUGUAUGUGGAAGCUCUAUUGGACACGAGUGGUAUUAGUAUUCAGUUCUGGUGAAGGGACAUUGUGGGGGAUUUGGUGUUGGUGGGUAGGUGUUGAGGAAGGACGAUCAUGUUAUAGGAGUCUUUUUUUGGUGCCUAUGUAGGAUUAGAAGAUGGUGGUGUUGGUGUUGCAGGCGGUGGUGGACUAGCAGAGGCUGCCUGUGGAGGUAGAUGCUUGUACACCAAAGCCUGUUUUAAGAGAGGAUAUGCAGAAGAUGGUGUUUACAAGCCCAAGGCGCACAUGGAUACUGAGAAUGAAGGGGAAGUUGAAGAUGAUUAGGCACUAGUGGAGGAGGCAUAUGAUCAGGAUCCUUCAGCGCAGAAGUGUUUGGGCACCGACGAUGUUACCAUGGUUAAUUGUGAAUUUGUUGUUACAUGAAUCUUUUUACUUCUUCUUGACUUUUGAUAUUGGAUGUGUGGUGAUUAUGUUGCUUUCUCAGACUAUUAUAAUGCUUACUUAUUUGGUUUGCAAUUGUUUUGUAUCUCUAGUUGUAUAGAUGUAACUUGCAAUGAAUCCGAAUUUGCUUCAUAUAUAUUGCUAGAUAUUUGGCGUUGAUCGAAAGGGUUACAUAUGCAUAAUCGGUGCUGGUGUUUCUAAAACUCAAAUUCUUGCUGCUGCUUUUAAGAAGGCCAGGAAGUGAAGGUCGAUGUGCGGGAGGAGAAGCAGAAAAAUGAAGCGUUGGAAGCACAGUUGGAUAUUGAAAGACAGAAAAACUACACUGUAGUAUAUGAAAGUGGAUUGAAUACAACUCUAAUGUUCAAAUAUGUAGUAUCUUUCGAUUUGUAUUUGAAGAUUUCAUUUUCUUGGAUGUUAUGUUGGGUAAUUAAUAAAAUUUAAUUUCAGAUUCA